rnacentral:lncRNA from 1 species
UUAUAUACACAAUCACUACAAAUCUAGGCUAUGUACAGAAAGUAUCUCAACAAAAUCUUAUGAUUCUCGAUUCGAUUGCAUGUCCUAUGGAUUCAAAUAUAUAGGAUAAAUUGCAAAUGUACUUGAAUUGUGGCUAAACUUAAAUUGAGAAAUUGAUGGUGGAUCAGGUGAACCAAUAGGAAUUGGAGCAUAUAUGUUGUCCCAUCUUUUUCUUCUGCCUUGCUCUCUGAAUACGCUCAGCUUUCUAUACCAAGUACCAACGUCCCCAUAGAUUCACAUUAAAUGAAGCUACAUCAUUGGAGCUAACUUUUCAUAUAGGACAGCUGUAUGUCUAUAACAUGGUGUUUAAGGCUAGUAUAUAGGGUGAUUUGAAUGUCAUAAGGGACAGGAACUUGC